GAUCAUGGCUCAGGAUGAACGCUAGCUACAGGCUUAACACAUGCAAGUCGAGGGGCAGCAUGACGAUAGCUUGCUAUUGUUGAUGGCGACCGGCGCACGGGUGAGUAACGCGUAUCCAACCUUCCCGUUGCUAGGGGAUAACCUUGCGAAAGUAAGACUAAUACCCUAUGAAGUUCUUCGCAGGCAUCUAAAGAGAACGAAAGAUUUAUCGGCAACGGAUGGGGAUGCGUCUGAUUAGGUUGUUGGCGGGGUAACGGCCCACCAAGCCUACGAUCAGUAGGGGUUCUGAGAGGAAGGUCCCCCACAUUGGAACUGAGACACGGUCCAAACUCCUACGGGAGGCAGCAGUGAGGAAUAUUGGUCAAUGGACGGAAGUCUGAACCAGCCAAGUAGCGUGCAGGAUGACGGCCCUAUGGGUUGUAAACUGCUUUUAUAAGGGAAUAAAGUGAGCCUCGUGAGGCUUUUUGCAUGUACCUUAUGAAUAAGGACCGGCUAAUUCCGUG
rnacentral:rRNA from 1 species